rnacentral:lncRNA from 1 species
AAACUAUCAACAUUUACAAAAAUUCACUAAUCAAUACUACAUAAACGGCAAAGUUCCGCCAUAUCAGUUUACUGGAAAAAAAAGUAAUGCUAUUCUUCAUUUGAUAUAGUUGUAGUAAAAAAUUAACCAUCCCCCUUUUGCGCUACCAAUGUGAAACAAAAUCAUUACUGACAACUAACUGAUUAAUUUCAAACAGAUGCCAUAUGCCCCCCCCCCCCCAAAAAAAAAAAAACUGAAAAAAAAAAAACAUAAUCGUUUGCAUGGACAUCAUUUUCAAUCGCAAAUAUCUAUUUAUUCUUUAUAUUCGCUUAUUUGUUUCUCUGUUAUUUGUUUUGUGCAUAAUCAGGCC